AGCGAACGCUGGCGGCAGGCCUAACACAUGCAAGUCGAACGAAGUCUUCGGACUUAGUGGCGGACGGGUGAGUAACACGUGGGAACGUGCCUUUAGGUUCGGAAUAACUCAGGGAAACUUGUGCUAAUACCGAAUGUGCCCUUCGGGGGAAAGAUUUAUCGCCUUUAGAGCGGCCCGCGUCUGAUUAGCUAGUUGGUGAGGUAAUGGCUCACCAAGGCGACGAUCAGUAGCUGGUCUGGGAGGAUGACCAGCCACAUUGGGACUGAGACACGGCCCAAACUCCUACGGGAGGCAGCAGUGGGGAAUCUUGCGCAAUGGGCGAAAGCCUGACGCAGCCAUGCCGCGUGGAUGAUGAAGGUCUUAGGAUUGUAAAAUCCUUUCACCGGUGAAGAUAAUGACUGUAGCCGGAGAAGAAGCCCCGGCUAACUUCGUGCCAGCCGCCGCCGUAAUAC
rnacentral:rRNA from 1 species